CCAAUGGGUCUGAAGAGCACCCAAUGAGUUGAGGAGCAUCCAGUGGGUCUGAGGAGCACCCAAUGAGUUGAAGAGCACCCAAUGAUUUGAGGAGCACCCAGUGAGUUGAAGAGCACCCAGUGGGUCUGCGGAACACCCAAUGAGUUUGAGGAGCACCCAAUGAGUUUGAGGAGCACCCAAUGAGUUGAGGAGCACCCAAUGGGUUGAGGAGCACCCAAUGGGUUGAGGAGCACCCAGUGAUUUGAGGAGCACCCAAUGAGUUGAGGAGCACCCAAUGGGUUUGAGCAGCACCCAACAAGUUUGAGGAGCACCCAACCAGUUUGAGGAGCACCCAAUGAGUUGAGGAGCACCCAGUGGGUCUGAGGAGCACCCAAUGAGUUGAGGAGCACCCAAUGGGUUGAGGAGCACCCAAUGGGUCUGAGGAGCACCCAAUGGGUCUGAGGAGUACCCAAUGAGUUGAGGAGCACCCAAUGGAUUGAGGAGCACCCAGUGGGUCUGAGGAGCACCCAAUGAGUUGAGGAGCACCCAAUGGAUUGAGGAGCACCCAGUGGGUCUGAGGAGCACCCAAUGAGUUGAGGAGCACCCAAUGAGUUUGAGCAGCACCCAGUGGCUUCACUCAGCACCCAACGGGUGCCAAGGGGCCACCCAUCAGCAUCUAGAGCCCUGUUAAGAGACCCAUUCC